UGAGUUCAAGGCAGCUGUUGAAGAUUUAAAACUGUUUAUUAAAAAAGAGCUAAACAACGCGAAGAGGAGUAUACUCUACGACUUGGAUCAAAAGAUGAAUACCCUGAAAUUAGAAAUUAUAAAACAAAGUUCUGAUCAAUCUGUCCAUCCACAGCCUUGGAAAAUUAUAGGCACAGAUUUGCCAGCCAAUGAUGUAGAAAAAUUUUUUGGAAUUUGACGAAGCUCUUAAAGUUGACAGCGCGAAACAGGAAGCACUGAAAGAUAUUUUUCGAUUGGAAACUAUUGGAUCUACCGACUAUGAAUCGGAUAUUUCAGUUAUCCUGAAAAAAUUAAUUACCAAAACUGUUCAAUUGCAGUACAGUGGCUGUGGUAGAGUCGUUAAUGGGAUCGGAAAAAAAAAUUUUUCUGCUACGGAAUUUUUUAAACACAUGAAUGAAUUUCUGAUGACUAAGUACAGCGAAUCAAAAGCGACGUUAAAAAUAACCCACGCAACCAGUAGAUUUUUUGCCGGCGCAAAAGAUAGAGACGGUGGCCGAUCACAACGGCAAAAAAAUCCUCCAACUAUUAAUCCAUAAUUAAACAAUCCUUAUUUUCAUUUAUAAUAAUUCGUUUUCAAUACGAAAAUUCAAAAAUUAAUCGACCCUUAAAUUUAAGUUAUAUAAUUAAAAACUCAUUUAUUAUUUAUAAUU